rnacentral:rRNA from 1 species
CUUCGGUGUCAGCGGCAGACGGGUGAGUAACACGUGGGAACGUACCCUUUGGUUCGGAAUAACGCUGGGAAACUAGCGCUAAUACCGGAUACGCCCUUUUGGGGAAAGGCUUGCUGCCGAAGGAUCGGCCCGCGUCUGAUUAGCUAGUUGGUGGGGUAAUGGCCUACCAAGGCGACGAUCAGUAGCUGGUCUGAGAGGAUGAUCAGCCACACUGGGACUGAGACACGGCCCAGACUCCUACGGGAGGCAGCAGUGGGGAAUAUUGGACAAUGGGCGCAAGCCUGAUCCAGCCAUGCCGCGUGAGUGAUGAAGGCCUUAGGGUUGUAAAGCUCUUUUGUCCGGGACGAUAAUGACGGUACCGGAAGAAUAAGCCCCGGCUAACUUCGUGCCAGCAGCCGCGGUAAUACGAAGGGGGCUAGCGUUGCUCGGAAUCACUGGGCGUAAAGGGCGCGUAGGCGGCCAUUCAAGUCGGGGGUGAAAGCCUGUGGCUCAACCACAGAAUUGCCUUCGAUACUGUUUGGCUUGAGUAUGGUAGAGGUUGGUGGAACUGCGAGUGUAGAGGUGAAAUUCGUAGAU